rnacentral:pre_miRNA from 1 species
UUGGUUUAUUUAAAGUCAAACUGGCUAAACUUUGACCAUGUUUAUAGAAAAAUAUAAUAACAACUAUGCCACCAAAUAUAUGCACUAUCAAAAUAUAUUCCACGGCGGAUUUAAUGAAAUAAAUUUGGUAUUAUAAUAUUUUUAAAUUUUUCUAUAAACAUGGUCAAAGCUUAGCAAGUUUGACUUUAGCCAAACCAAA